AACCCUCUUUUUUGUGGCCUUUAGAUCGUACUUUUUGCCCACUUCUCUAGUAGUGAACCAAAGACAAAUUGAACAAAAUUUUAAAAUUAAUUCCAAUAUUAAUUCCUAAUUAAUGCCUAAAGAAACUCCUCAUCAGCUUGGAGUUGUCUCUUUUAAUUUUGGGAAAUAUCGAGUUUGGGCUUCAUGAUCAUCAAUAGCCUGGGCUUCUCCGAAAGGUGAGGGUUCUCUACUUCGUCAAUUGCAGUACUCUUAAAAUUUGGGUUCAUCUAAAUUAUUUCUCAGAUUUUUGAGGUUAUACUAUUAGGAUGAGGGGGUUGACGAAGACAGGGGAGAGAGAAGAAGAGAAGGAGAGGAGAGAGUGGGUCGGGGAGGGGUUGAUAUGUGGGGGUUGGGUUGAGGUCAGGGCAGGUCUGUGGGGUGGGUAGGGGUUGCGAUGGUUGGGGGGUUUAGAUUUAGGGCGGUCUGGUGCGACAGAUAGAGGGAGACAGGGAGAGAGCGGGUCGGGGAGUCGGGGCUGGGGGGUGGGUUGAGGGGUCUGAUGGGUGGAUGUGGCUAGGGAAGGGAGUGGAGAUGGGGUGGCUGGGGUUGAGGAUGGGGUUUGGAAGCCACAAGGAUAUGCAUUUUAUUUAUAUAUUUUUGUAAAACACCAUGCUAUGCUAGAGCUCUCAAAUACAAUAGCAAAUGCCAAUAUAAUGAUUUAGGGUAUGGUGUCUCUGUUUUAUUAGAACAAGCAAACCAAGAAAACAAACUAAAAUGGGAGCCUCUCACACCUCUGAUUAAUGUACUAGUGAGGGAGGGCCACAUAACCCAUACGACAUAUUUUGUGCAUUAAAACAAAAAGCUAUGAACAUAAAAUAAAAAUAAAAAGGGGAAAAAAGGAAAACAGAUGUCGAAAAUUCUAUUUACAAUGUCACACCACCAUGGUGACCAUAUAUUCUAACGGGACCAAGCAUAGAAAUAGAUGUUUUUGGAUCUUAAUUAGAGACACAAUCCGAUUGUUGAGAUGGAAACUUCUUCUUAGCGACGGCUUGGGUCCACUCCAGCAGUCUUGAGCGUCUCCGCAGUGCGAGGCCUGCAAGUUGCAACCAAACCAAGCAACCUUCAUUAAUAUUGCAUAUACAAAAAUGUACGAUCUGCCAAAACAUUUUCAUGUCGGACAACAUAAGAUGUUUAAGUCGGACGAUGAAUUUAAACUCUUAGUUAGGUUAAUUUUUAUAUGAAUGUGUAGUUUAAAUUCACAAACAGCUGAAGACGUGACAUAUAUUAAUAUAUGUAUGCAUGUAUGUAUAUACCUAGUGAAAGCGUCACGCUGGACUGGAUCAGGCAUGGUGGGGUUGCCAGGAUCCUGGAUACGACCCACCUUCCUGAGGAAAGAUUUGUUGAUAAACCUGUCGGAUGAGCUCACGGCAACAUCUGGUUGCUCGACCUCGAACAUGGAUUCCCUCU
rnacentral:lncRNA from 1 species